GCUUUGUGAUACCAAUGUAGAGAGUUGUCGCGAAGUUUUUUCCCUUCUUUGCCAGUGUUCUUAUCAGGUUACGCAAGCGAUUACAGCAGCUGAGAUGAAGGAUGCAUUGCUGUUAGAGGGGCCUUGUACUGAUAUCAUUCUUUGUGAGGCCAAUCUUCUGCUACUUAACAACGGAGAGUUGUUGAAAGCCAUCACAGAAAACAAAAUGCUGCAACACAUCCCUGUGAUCAUGAUUUUGACCGAGGAUCAAGUGUCGCUUACUUUGAACGGGUUGGGACUAGGAGUAGCUGACUACCUUAUGAGGCCUGUAAGUGCUGAUGAACUCCUCAACUUGUGGACUCAUAUUUU